rnacentral:lncRNA from 1 species
AUCCCAUAAUGACUCUCCUUAAGUUUACGAAGGCGAACACUGGGUGCUUAAGGACCUCGUGGAAAACCAAGAUUGAAGAUGGAUGAAUUAAAUCACAAUGACUAAGAUGGAAGCUGCUGUCACCUUGGAGCACUGGGACUAUAAUUCCCCAUGUCACCACAGUACUGGGUAGUCCUUCUACCUGAGUGAGGAGUUAAGUCUGCAGCCAUGACCUGACUGGUGUUACAGGAUCUGGAUACUGCGCUAUGGCUUGUCUGAAAGGAGUCUGCCUGACGGUUCCACACCUGUGAUCACGAACUUCUCCACACGUGAUGAACCAUUAAAGAUGAAAGUCAUUAUCAGGGUGAGUUGUGUAAUGCAGCAUGGGGGUUGGGGUCUAAAUAAUGUAAUCAAUUUAACCAUUGGUCUUGGAGAUACCGCCCGAUAAAAUGAAGACUAUAAAUCUGGAGCUGGGCUAUUGCAGAUAAACAAUGUCAUUUUAUAAUUGUAGCUCAAUACUGUCAAGCGGGGCUUGAAGAGCUUAUGUCUUGAGUUUGGUCAAUGAUGAUUCAGUUUUUGGUUCAACUGAUUUAAACUGAAGUUUACUCGCAGCGCACUGAGACCACUCUUGACUGUUGCUGCUCCUGUUGAGUGUGUGUGUGCAAGCCAAACACCGAUAAUCACUGUUUCAUAUCUUGUCAGGUAUGACCGUGGCUGCCAAAGUUGGACGCAAUGAACUGGUGUGCUGGGACUGUUACAAGCUUCAGAGAUGGUCUAUAUGAAGCCAUCAGAAAGUGACCGCCUGGAUUCAGUCAUAUAAUCUGCCUUUUGAAAUCUGGUUUCAUUUUCGUACAAAGCGAUUCCCCUUCAACUGUUAACCUUCACAUGCAGAUGUAUUUUCCAAUAAAUGUUUGACAAAAUUAUUCUUUAUCUGUUCUUUCAAACUUUAUUUUUAGCUGUCAAAUGUGCAAGCAAAUGGCUCUAUAGUUUAGAA